AGCUGGCGUCAAGUUUAUUUAUCUCUCGUCUGCUAUAUUUUUUUAUCUGUGUAAGUGUAAGAGUUGAAGUCCCUUAUACAUUUGAUACUAAAUGGCGUCUAACGAUGAGGGCCGUCACAAAAAAACACUGAAAAGGAGGGCUGCCACUGCGAUUGAUGUAGAUUUGAAACUGAAGAAUUUAAGAAAAGUUAUAGAAAGUGAUGACAUCAAUGCAGUGGAAGUGGAAGAAACAAGUCCAGAACAUUUGGGCCUCAGUGUUGUACAUCCUCAUGAGUCGCUUUCAGCUAAGGACUCACUCUGCAACAUGAGUUAAUGGAAGUUGUAGUCAAGCUACACCUUCGGAAGUUGUUGUACAUGCAGACCAGCAUGAGUCAACAAAUAACACUGAGAAUCAUUUCCAGCUCCCACAGCUAAUGAGUGUGAGUGGUGGUGGGAUAACGCUGCUGAUGCUGAUUCAGAUGCUGAAUCUCUUACAUGUUAAUGAUGGUAUGCCUCAGUUGCACCAGUUAUAGUUUAUCUCCCAUUUCUCAGUACAUCAGUACUUUAAAAAACUGGACAAAAAAAUUCGAAAUAAAUUUUUUUGAAUAAAUCGUAUAGUCAUUCCAUGACGCCCUCAUCGCCUUUACACAGUCAGUUGCGUUUUGCUGAUGAAGUAUCAUUCUUAUAAAGUUAAAUGUGUGAAAACGUGAAAUGGUAGACAAAACCUCUUACAACGGUUUAUCAUUCUUUACAUCAAAGUUACUACUUGGCACUUGGGCCUAGCCGUUACUUGCCACCAAAAUCAGUCAAUGAGUACAUGGUAGCACAUUGUCACUAAUUGGAAACUCAAAUCUUGGAUAGAUUCAAAGAAAGCCGUAACAGAAAAGUGGCUGGAGAUGGAAUUUACAAUAAGGCUUGAUGGAAUUUGUGCGACUAUGAAGCACCAGAUUGAAAUGAGAAGGCCAAGGGUUUGCAUCAGUGCUUUUCUUAAGUCUGGUAUUGUGAUUCAGAAAGUAUUGAUGGGAAGAGAAAAGAGCGAGACACAGAAGGAGAGGAAAAGUUUAGAUAACCAACUACAUAUCCACCAAACCAACACCCGAGAAGAAGAAAUCAUCACACAAGUGAAAAAGAAAAAGCAGUUGAUUUUUGGAAAAAACAGUAGGCUUAUGCAAUCUUAGCAGUCUAUUUUCAACUUAAUUUGUUAUUCUACAUGUAAAUUUGCUUGGGAUGAUGCUGUCAUUAUAUAUUGGAACAUUAUUCUAACAGUCAUGUAGAAAUUAUGAUCAAUUAUGCCAGUCUUUAGAACAUUACCAUUAUUUGAAAAUACUGUUGUUAAUGAAACAUAAUUGUUUUGUAUAUGUAAAAUACAAAGAUUGGUUGCACCCAGAAAAUUACUAUCAGCUCCAAA